rnacentral:sRNA from 1 species
CCUUGCGGAAUGAAGUAUUGCCUUUAUUCAGAGCAGAGGUACCAUAUAGACAGCUGUAGUGCAAGUUUCCGUACAUUACCCCACUAAAGAGCCUGAACCCUGAUCUGGAGAAACCACCUAGAGAAACGAAAAGGUAGCAUGAUCUUCAUGCCCAUUUGGUCUUUGACCUCU